AGUGAUGAAGGCCCUCGGGUUGUAAAGCUCUUUCAUCGGUGAAGAUAAUGACGGUACCCGUAGAAGAAGCCCCGGCUAACUUCGUGCCAGCAGCCGCGGUAAUACGAAGGGGGCAAGCGUUGUUCGGAAUUACUGGGCGUAAAGCGCGCGUAGGCGGUUAUUUAAGUCAGGGGUGAAAUCCCGGGGCUCAACCCGGGAACUGCCUUUGAUACUGGGUAUCUUGAGUUCGGCAGAGGUGAGUGGAAUUCCGAGUGUAGCGGUGAAAUUCGUAGAUAUUCGGAGGAACACCAGUGGCGAAGGCGGCUCACUGGCUCGAUACUGACGCUGAGCACG
rnacentral:rRNA from 1 species